rnacentral:rRNA from 1 species
UACGUAGGUGUCAAGCGUUGUCCGGAUUUAUUGGGCGUAAAGCGCCCGCAGGCGGCUUGCCAAGUUCGAUGUGAAAUCUCCCGGCUCAACUGGGAGGGUGCAUCGAAAACUGGCAGGCUUGAGGCAGGGAGAGGGAUGUGGAAUUCCAGGUGUAGCGGUGAAAUGCGUAGAUAUCUGGAGGAACACCGGUGGCGAAGGCGACAUCCUGGACCGGUAUUGACGCUGAGGCGCGAAAGCCAGGGGAGCAAACGGG